rnacentral:lncRNA from 1 species
CCCGCUUCUUAUGAAAGUCUCUUAUGUACUUAUCGUUUAGGCAACUUGAUGAUUUUUUUUUUGUACAAUGUCAAUGUCUAGAAGCUAAACUCUUAAUUACCGUGAUCAACAAAGAGGACAAGAUCGGAAUCAAGGUACUGAGGGAUGAAGAGACUAUUAGGUUCCAUGGAGAUGAAACCAAUAUGCAUUGGACUAUGUAGAAAUGAACCCCUUCAGUAGCCACCCUUCACCAUUCUCAUCGACCCAGCAUCAGUUUUCACAACAUCAUGUAACUGACGCAGCAAGAACCAUUUUUCUCCUUGUGUUCUUUGCUCACUUUCUUCUUCUUCUUCUUCUUCUCUUUCUCUUCUUCCUUCAUAUUCAUAGCCAGCAACAGAGGCCACUAGUGUCGAGAAAAGUACCAGCACUAGAAGCAGUACUGUCCUAUUUCCCAUUUUCAACUCGUUAUAAAGAAGAAUGUGUUCUAAGCUUUCGUUAUAAUCAGUUUUGAUUUACUGAUGUAUUAGGUGCUGGCUGUGUGGUUUAUAUAGAGUAUAUUGAGAUUUGAGGGAAGCUAUUUUCAAUCAUGCAUAAUUUUUAGGCUUUUCUUUUGUAAUAUAGACGUUGAGAUCCUGAAAAAUAUAUGCUGACGAAAAAAACACUUGUAUACAUAAAAAAAUGAAAUAGAGAAACUUCAAUUUGAUGACCAUUUCAAAGGGCUAAUCUAACGCAAUAAAAGAAAGGACCUAAGUUGUAUAUGCACGUACGUAAACACAAUUAAUAACGCAUAAUACAUAAAUAUAUACUUAAAUUUAGCCUCAACUGACAAGUAAACACUCUUAACUUUGACAGUGUUCAUGUUAGAAUUUGGAGCUAAAAGAGAAGAGAAAAGAUAAAAGUUUCAGCAGUAGCUGCUUUCAUUCAUACAUUCAUCACACAUACAUUCAUUCAUACAUUCAACAUUCAUUCAUACAUAAUCAACAUCUUACAAAACACUAUACUUAUAAGCUACAUGAAUCUUACAAGACACACUCAUAAGUCUUACAAGACACUCUAUCUUACAAGACACACUUAACAAAAAUAAGGACUACUAUUCAUUUAAAAACUAAACAUAAUAUUUUUUUAAAAAAUCUCAUAUUCUAACACUCCCCCUUGAGAUUUUUCUUGGAUACUCCCAGCAUAAUCUUCAUCUUAUUCAUUGGGAUAUCAUCCAUUUCAUCAUCUAACUCAACCUUAUCAAAUUCAUCAUCAUCAUCAUCCACAUCGUCAGUCAAAUCGUCAUCCGCAGGCAAAGCAGCAAACUUGACAGCCUUUUGGUUCUGAUUUUUGCCCAAGGGGGAAAGUUUGAGGUCCUCUAAUUGUGGGGGGUAGCUUCAGAUCUUGUAACCCCUUAAGCUGCUGCAUUUGUUGCUGGUUUGGGAUUUGAGCUCCUCCUCCAUUAGCACCCAUCAUUGGAUUCAUCUGGGCUCCAGGAUUACCACCCAUCAUAGCCUUCUUCAUAUAUAAAGUGGCUUCAUUUUCACUUCUGUUCAAGCCACAAUGAAUGAGAUGAUCAUCAAUCUUAUUGUACCAUGCUCGAGGAGUUUGUUUUAAUGCCUUAUGUAAUCUGUCUUUGGGUUUGUCAACCAGCUUCCAAGUGUCAUUCUUCUCAAUCAUACCAAUCUCCUCCUUCAUUGCUUUAAUCAAAAAUUCAUGUUUUGAUGCUUCAUCAUAGGUAUUGGGUUCCAAGAUUGCAAUAUUGCAUCUUUCAUAUAUCUCGAAAAGGGACCUUGUCUUCAAAAUUGGUGAAUCAAGUGAGGAUUCACCAUCCUCUGCUUCAAAAUUUGGCACGUUCCCUACAUAUGCUUAUUGUUUUUCCUAAUAAUGUCAUAUUUGCUCUCUCUUGCACUUUAGAAACGAUUAUGUCUCUCCCUACAUAUGCUUAUUGUUUUUCCUAAUAAUGUCAUAUUUGCUCUCUCUUGCACUUUAGAAACGAUUAUGUCUCUCCCUACAUAUGCUUAUUGUUUUUCCUAAUGCCAUAUUUGCUUUCUCUUACACUUUAGAAACGAUUGUCUUACAGAAGGUUUAAGUGACGCAGUGUUCCGAGUCUGAUCACUGCUUUCACCUGGAAUGGAUCAUAAAGGAAAAAAUGGCAUUUAAAUCAAUCAAUGCGUGUGAAGACAGUUUUCGAAUGAUCAAUUGUAUAAGAACUGCACUGCCCUGCCGCAUUACUUCAAAUACUAUUGAGUAAAAUUGAGAAUAAGCAAUAUUGUUUUUCCGUCAAGUUGUAAUGGUGGAAUGGUAUUUUAUCAUUAUGUUUGUUCCUAGGAGCGAGUAGUUUCUUUCAUUGCGCUGAGGCACUAGUUCAUUGUUAAACCACAAACAGAAUUCAUGUCAAGGAAACCAAUCCGUCUUAUUCACAACUCAAGGGCAAUGCAUCUUGCUUCCAAGGAAACAAGUUAACUCAGACUGAAUAACAGGACGAAAAAAAAAGUAACAAAAUUGGCUUCGAGCUUUCGUGUCAUAAUUUAACAGGACCAACGACGUACUGAAGUUUCUAAGAAACUAAUAAGAACCAGUUUUCAUCCUCAGAGGAGAAUCUGACGAUGAUGAAGGCAAGAUGACUUGUUCACGUUGCGCAUUGACAAUCCUUUCAAGUCUUUUCUGACCAAUUCCAAAUGCAGCUGCAAAUUCUGGCCCUCUCAAGCUUUGCAUCAAUGAGUUCCUACCCACCAAGAACUGUGGAUGGUUCCUCCUUGCUGAUGUUGUGAAGCCGAAGAACUCAAAUGGGCCAUUCGUUGAAGCAAUUUGGCAGAUCGGGAAGUACCGUGGCACCCAAAAAACAUCUCCCUCUCUUACUCUAGCGUUCAUGGCUAAAGUCCCAUUCGGAUACACAAUUUGUAUCCUGCCAGCACCCUUCAACACCACUCCAUACUCUAUAGCUCUUUGAUUAACAUGAGGUGCCAUGAUGGAUCCCUACAUUUAUCAAGAAACGUAGAUUAAACAUGUAAGCAAGAAAAGAAACAUGCAGCAGAUCAGUUUUGCUUUCACAUGAGGGGAUUUGAACCACUGACCAAAGGUCACCACUUGUAUGGGGCAAGUUUACACUUUUUAAGUCGGUGAGUGAGAUGAUUUACCGGAGAUAGAUUCACUAGAUAAACGCCAUUGCCAGAUUGUUGUAGAGGAGAAUAAUCAGACUCAUCCAAUUUCUUGCUCCAUCCGUAAUUGUUCUUGAAAUCGGGGUUCUUGCUGUAGAUAUUGUACGCUGAUGGAGCAUUGUGAUUCACUCUCUUUACAUCUUUUCUGUUUAAUAAAGCACACAAUAAUUUCCUCAAUGACCAUGUAGAUUCCUCCUCUUUUGGGCUAACUUCUUCCUCCAAAUUCACAAUCCUCUUCAAGUGAGCUAAUUUCUGAAGGGAUUCUUGGGUGACGAAUUUGGUCCAAACGUUUGUGUGAUGAGAACCAGAUAAAUGCACGAUUGGUCCGGAAGAUUGCCUGGUCAAGAACCUCCUUAGUUCUGCUGUCGAGACCUGGAGUUUUACAUAAUUUUGAUUCAAUUUGUUGUCCCUCUGAUAAAUGUAGUAAGAAAAAUUAAAUUCCCUUGAAUACUCACAUUAAGAGCAGUUGAUAAUGUGUUAUGAUCGAAUCCAGCAAGAACGGAUGCUGGAUGAAUUCCACCACCAAUGAAGAAAGACUGAAAAAUAGUUACCCGAAGUUACUACGAAGCUUUGGGAAGAAAUAGGACGAUAAACCAAAGACAAGAAAUAGAUCAAGUGAUAAUUUUUUGAUAAUUUGACCAAGGCUACCUGGAAAGCAUGCCAUCCCAUGGAUUCUGAGGUAAUAUCAAUGCUGCAAAUAAUGCGAAGUCUUUCUUUUUCAGCUCUAUUUUCCAAAUAGAAAGCUGAUCCAGCAGGUAUUGUGUACACAUCUCCAUGCUUCAAAUGCCUUUCUACUAAUUCAUUCCUAUAGAUGUUUCCAACUCUUGCUUCCCCUGUAUUCAAUUCAUAACAAAUGGACAUCAGGCUUAUAAUUUAAUUUCUAUACUACACGUGAAUUUUAACCUGUUAAUGUUUUUCCAGGCUAUUAGUCCCGCUUCUUAUGAAAGUCUCUUAUGUACUUAUCGUUUAGGCAACUUGAUGAUUUUUUUUUUGUACAAUGUCAAUGUCUAGAAGCUAAACUCUUAAUUACCGUGAUCAACAAAGAGGACAAGAUCGGAAUCAAGGUACUGAGGGAUGAAGAGACUAUUAGGUUCCAUGGAGAUGAAACCAAUAUGCAUUGGACUAUGUAGAAAUGAACCCCUUCAGUAGCCACCCUUCACCAUUCUCAUCGACCCAGCAUCAGUUUUCACAACAUCAUGUAACUGACGCAGCAAGAACCAUUUUUCUCCUUGUGUUCUUUGCUCACUUUCUUCUUCUUCUUCUUCUUCUCUUUCUCUUCUUCCUUCAUAUUCAUAGCCAGCAACAGAGGCCACUAGUGUCGAGAAAAGUACCAGCACUAGAAGCAGUACUGUCCUAUUUCCCAUUUUCAACUCGUUAUAAAGAAGAAUGUGUUCUAAGCUUUCGUUAUAAUCAGUUUUGAUUUACUGAUGUAUUAGGUGCUGGCUGUGUGGUUUAUAUAGAGUAUAUUGAGAUUUGAGGGAAGCUAUUUUCAAUCAUGCAUAAUUUUUAGGCUUUUCUUUUGUAAUAUAGACGUUGAGAUCCUGAAAAAUAUAUGCUGACGAAAAAAACACUUGUAUACAUAAAAAAAUGAAAUAGAGAAACUUCAAUUUGAUGACCAUUUCAAAGGGCUAAUCUAACGCAAUAAAAGAAAGGACCUAAGUUGUAUAUGCACGUACGUAAACACAAUUAAUAACGCAUAAUACAUAAAUAUAUACUUAAAUUUAGCCUCAACUGACAAGUAAACACUCUUAACUUUGACAGUGUUCAUGUUAGAAUUUGGAGCUAAAAGAGAAGAGAAAAGAUAAAAGUUUCAGCAGUAGCUGCUUUCAUUCAUACAUUCAUCACACAUACAUUCAUUCAUACAUUCAACAUUCAUUCAUACAUAAUCAACAUCUUACAAAACACUAUACUUAUAAGCUACAUGAAUCUUACAAGACACACUCAUAAGUCUUACAAGACACUCUAUCUUACAAGACACACUUAACAAAAAUAAGGACUACUAUUCAUUUAAAAACUAAACAUAAUAUUUUUUUAAAAAAUCUCAUAUUCUAACACUCCCCCUUGAGAUUUUUCUUGGAUACUCCCAGCAUAAUCUUCAUCUUAUUCAUUGGGAUAUCAUCCAUUUCAUCAUCUAACUCAACCUUAUCAAAUUCAUCAUCAUCAUCAUCCACAUCGUCAGUCAAAUCGUCAUCCGCAGGCAAAGCAGCAAACUUGACAGCCUUUUGGUUCUGAUUUUUGCCCAAGGGGGAAAGUUUGAGGUCCUCUAAUUGUGGGGGGUAGCUUCAGAUCUUGUAACCCCUUAAGCUGCUGCAUUUGUUGCUGGUUUGGGAUUUGAGCUCCUCCUCCAUUAGCACCCAUCAUUGGAUUCAUCUGGGCUCCAGGAUUACCACCCAUCAUAGCCUUCUUCAUAUAUAAAGUGGCUUCAUUUUCACUUCUGUUCAAGCCACAAUGAAUGAGAUGAUCAUCAAUCUUAUUGUACCAUGCUCGAGGAGUUUGUUUUAAUGCCUUAUGUAAUCUGUCUUUGGGUUUGUCAACCAGCUUCCAAGUGUCAUUCUUCUCAAUCAUACCAAUCUCCUCCUUCAUUGCUUUAAUCAAAAAUUCAUGUUUUGAUGCUUCAUCAUAGGUAUUGGGUUCCAAGAUUGCAAUAUUGCAUCUUUCAUAUAUCUCGAAAAGGGACCUUGUCUUCAAAAUUGGUGAAUCAAGUGAGGAUUCACCAUCUGAUUCUUCAUUUUCUUCUAUAUUUUCAGAGCCAAAUGAUUGUGUUUUAGGCAGCAGAUGCAAGUUUAGAUAACCUACAUUUUCUUGCUCAUACAUAGACCUUAAAGUGGCAUAGUUAAAAUGCCCAUAUCUUCUGUGCCAUAACCGUGAAUCGUCCAUCCUUGCAAAGUUGGAACUAUCGAAAUUUUCAUCUACCGGAAAGGUCCUAUCCACCAUUUCUACUUUAACAAUCAAAGUAUCAUCAGAAUUAAAAAUCAAAUAAUGUUUUUCCUUAAAAAGUAAGGAGUAACCUUUCGACAUCAUUUGGCCAACACUCAACAAAUUACAUGCUAAAGAAAGAACAUACAACACAUCAUGUAUAAGCUUUGUACCUUGUUUAGUUUCUAAGGAAACUAAACCCUUUCAUGUGCUUCUAGUACUGCACCAUUUCCCAUCCUAACUUUAGCUUUGACUGACUUGUCAAGUGUGUGAAACAUGAGCUCAUUAUAUGAUAUGUGACUCGUGCAUCCACUGUCUAAGAACCAUUUGGAUUAGUUAUUUGUGCUUUCUUCAUAAGUAGCCAUAAACAAGCUUUCUUCCUUUUCUGAAUCUUUAGUGAAAUUUGCCUGUUAAACAUGUUAUUGUGGUUGAUUCUGCUUGGCCCUACAAUUCUUCUCAAUAUGACCCAUUUUUCUACAGAAUCUGCAUUAAAUUUAUGGUUUUCCUUUGAACCAACAAUCCUUUUCUUGAUGAUUGGUUCUUUUACAAUGGAGGCAAGGUGGAAACCUACCUUUUUGUGGAGAUUCCAUCCAUGGCUUUCUCUCUACUACUGUAUCUCCUUCCAUUCUCCCAUUGUUCUUCAUAAGUUGCUUGUCUUUGUGCUUUGCUUGAAAUGCCACUUCUUCUACUUCUUCAUCUCUUAUACUUGUUCUUUGUUCUUGGGCUUGCAAUUUGCUAAUCAUCUCUGUGACGGACAAAGUCUUCAAAUUACAAGAUUUCUCUAUUGCUGAAAUCUUGGACUCGAACCUUGCUGGUAAGCUUAUCAUCAUCUUCUCCACCACCUUUGAAUCUGGAAAUAUUUUACCAAAUAAUAUUAUUUUGUUUACAAUUUCCAUAAGUUUGGCAGAGUACUCCUUUACUGUAUCUCUUUCUUUCAUCCUUAACAUCUCAAAUUCUCUUUUGAGAGUUAAGAGUUUGACAGUUUUCACUCUGUCACUUCCAUCGACCUCCUCUUUUAGCUUCUCUCAUACUUCUUUAGGUGUUUCACAAGCCAUUAUUCUUCUGAAAAUCACAUCUGAAAGUGCUGAAUGAAGACACGUGAGGGCCUUUGGUUUCUUGGACUUUGCAUCUUCAUAAAUCUUCAUUUGUGCAACAAUUAGAUUUGGUCCCAAUGGAGGGGGAUCAUUUUCACUUUCAACUAUUUCCCAUAGACUAAGAGCUUUGAGAUAAGCCUUCAUCUUUAUCACCCAUAUGUGAUAAUUUUCUCUUGUAAACAUAGGAGGACCUGUGUAACACCCCGUAUUCAAGUACAUGUAUUGGCGUAUUCAAGUACGUGUAUUGGUCUUAUUUAUAUGGAAUUAAUUUUUUAUUUUAUUUAUACCAGAAUUUUCCCAUCGAUGGUUCCAUACGAAGGUUAUUGAAUAAGCUUUCCAACGAUAUAAAGAUUUUCAAAAACGGAUAAGUUUCGGAUAUGAUCGAGCACGUUCGAAACUAUAAAACGGUGGCCGGGAUAUGGUGAAUAGUAACUCCCUUAAUAUAAUGAACUGGGAGAGAUAAGACCUAUCAAAAGAAAGAUCUUUGAGUCUUCUUUCCAAUCCAAUUGGUUUCAUCCAAAUCCAACGUAUGAGUAAGGAGUUAUACUCGUUUUACUUUAGCCUCUCAAAACAGAUUUUUAGGGUCAACUUCAAACGAUCAUAACUCCUUGUACAGGACGAACUGGGUGGCCUACUUUAUAUGAAAUNNNNNNNNNNNNNNNNNNNNNNNNNNNNNNNNNNNNNNNNNNNNNNNNNNNNNNNNNNNNNNNNNNNNNNNNNNNNNNNNNNNNNNNNNNNNNNNNNNNNNNNNNNNNNNNNNNNNNNNNNNNNNNNNNNNNNNNNNNNNNNNNNNNNNNNNNNNNNNNNNNNNNNNNNNNNNNNNNNNNNNNNNNNNNNNNNNNNNNNNNNNNNNNNNNNNNNNNNNNNNNNNNNNNNNNNNNNNNNNNNNNNNNNNNNNNNNNNNNNNNNNNNNNNNNNNNNNNNNNNNNNNNNNNNNNNNNNNNNNNNNNNNNNNNNNNNNNNNNNNNNNNNNNNNNNNNNNNNNNNNNNNNNNNNNNNNNNNNNNNNNNNNNNNNNNNNNNNNNNNNNNNNNNNNNNNNNNNNNNNNNNNNNNNNNNNNNNNNNNNNNNNNNNNNNNNNNNNNNNNNNNNNNNNNNNNNNNNNNNNNNNNNNNNNNNNNNNNNNNNNNNNNNNNNNNNNNNNNNNNNNNNNNNNNNNNNNNNNNNNNNNNNNNNNNNNNNNNNNNNNNNNNNNNNNNNNNNNNNNNNNNNNNNNNNNNNNNNNNNNNNNNNNNNNNNNNNNNNNNNNNNNNNNNNNNNNNNNNNNNNNNNNNNNNNNNNNNNNNNNNNNNNNNNNNNNNNNNNNNNNNNNNNNNNNNNNNNNNNNNNNNNNNNNNNNNNNNNNNNNNNNNNNNNNNNNNNNNNNNNNNNNNNNNNNNNNNNNNNNNNNNNNNNNNNNNNNNNNNNNNNNNNNNNNNNNNNNNNNNNNNNNNNNNNNNNNNNNNNNNNNNNNNNNNNNNNNNNNNNNNNNNNNNNNNNNNNNNNNNNNNNNNNNNNNNNNNNNNNNNNNNNNNNNNNNNNNNNNNNNNNNNNNNNNNNNNNNNNNNNNNNNNNNNNNNNNNNNNNNNNNNNNNNNNNNNNNNNNNNNNNNNNNNNNNNNNNNNNNNNNNNNNNNNNNNNNNNNNNNNNNNNNNNNNNNNNNNNNNNNNNNNNNNNNNNNNNNNNNNNNNNNNNNNNNNNNNNNNNNNNNNNNNNNNNNNNNNNNNNNNNNNNNNNNNNNNNNNNNNNNNNNNNNNNAAUGGCGAAUGAUAAUUGUAAAGAAUAAAAUGAACGAAUGUAUACCGUUCCACAAAUGUGUUUGAAUUCAAGAACCCAAUUCAGAUUAAUGAUAAUGUAUAUGAUCCUAAAAGUGUUUAUGAAGUGCGGUUCACUUCUAUUAUGAUUUAUUCACUUGCGUCUGAUUUUCUGGAUCCCCCAUAUCACAUAUGAUUAUUUACAGCUUUACAUACUCAGUACAUAUUUCGUACUGACGUUCCUCACAGGGGACCUGCGUUUCAUGCUGCAGGCACAGGUGCUUCAACUAGAGGCUUUGUAGACAUAAGGAAGGGUAAAGUCAUGGAAGUUUAUAUAGUGAUGUUAUAUUUGUAUAUGUGGUGGCCCCGACGACCAAGUAUUAUAUAUAUUUAUAUUUGUGCGUGUUGUGCUGAUACAGGUAAUUAGACCCUUCUAUAUGCAACGAAGUGCUGUCCAAAUUUUUGGUGACAUGUAAGUGAAAGUACAGGUAUUUGAACGGGUUCUCCCGGGCCUUCUCGGUUUUGGGUGCCAGUCCGGCCCGAUGGAAUUUUGGGUCGUGACAACCUGCACCCAAGAAGCUAUUGGAUGCCAUGUUACUGCUGUUCAGGUUUCUUUUUUUUAGAAGAUCUGAAAAAACUUACCUUUAGGCCUUCACAGAUCCCUCAAGAAGGUUGGCUCUUGAUACCACUGUUAGAAUUUGGAGCUAAAAGAGAAGAGAAAAGAUAAAGUUUCAGUAGUAGCUGCUUUCAUUCAUACAUUCAUCAUGUUGACACCUAAUUUUUGCCCUCUAUAACCUAGUUUAAUUUUGAGCUUCCUCGGUUUUUGAUAAAAUCAAAAUAUUUAUUUCGUAUGAAUAGAAAUUUCUCAAAAAAAAAAAAAGCAUCUGGGCAAGUUUGUCAUCUUAAGUGAUGAUUAUACAUUAUCGUAUUCAAUUAUACGAAAUUACGUAAUUUUAUUACUUAAAUAACUAUUUUACGGAAUAUCGGAUUUUAAUCAAGGAUUAUUUUGAAGAUAAAUUCAAAUGGAUAAAGUCUUGAUUUUAAAUAUGAUUUGCUCUCGAAAAUAAUUUAUUUGGACAAAUAUUUGUUUAAUUUUAUCAAAUCAAGAAGAUCAAGAUUAAAUAAGGUAUUAAUUCGUAUCGAAUCUCAAUUAAAUUUAGUCAAUUUAUUAAAUUAGACCAUAAUUGAAAUCAAGUUGAUCAAAAUUGGAAUGAAAUUGAUCAAAUUGAUAUCCAAUUUGGUUAAGAUUUAAGUAAAAUUGGCUAAAAAUUAAUUUUGUUUGGCCAUUUUUAAAUUACCAAAUUUCUACCCUUUUUUAUUUUAAAUUGGACCCAUUAACAUUCAGCAACAACAACAUUUAAAGUUGGCCCAACCAGCCCAAUAUCCCUUUAGUAACCAGCCCAGCCGGGUUUCGACCCGACCCACCCCUUCCAUUCCCCUUCUUCUCUAAAACAAGAACACUCUAACCUCAGUCUUAAACACCAACAGCAACAUCACGCGAAUCCACCAUCUCCGAUAACCCAAACCCGUCUUCAACCCGCGACCAACGAAAAAACCCGACCUCAAGCUGUUUGUGGUAUUCUUCACGCGUUCCACGCAAUAGUACAACGAGGAAGGACCUCGAAGCUUCUAGAAAUGGGUGAGUUGGCUCGCCCCAACGUCCAAAUUCCGUGAUUUUUGGGAUAACUUGUACGAAUCCGUACAUUGGUAGAGAUUUCUAAUUGGUUCUUGAGGAUGAUUCCCCUUUCUCCAAUUUGGAUUGGUUUGCCUUAUUUCAAAAUUCAUCGGGUUGUACAAGCGGUUAGACAGCAUACCUAUCAAAAUUUUGGAAUUCAAAUUUCCUUUUUGUUUUUUUCCUAACUUACCCCCAUAAACGAACCCUAGCCUAUUCUCUAUAAAAGGCUAUUUAGAAGGCUGAAGAGGGGGAUUUUUUUUAGGUUCUAGGGUUUCGAAAAACUGAAGAAGAAAUCUUUAUUGAGAGUUGAAGGGGAUUCAAAAAUUGGGAGGUGAAAAUUUAAGGUUCGAGAAUUAGGUUCGAGAAUUCGAGAAGAGAAUCAACAUUAACAUUUCUUUUUAGAAAACAAAUUUCCUUUUCUAUCUUCCUCUGAGAGUUAGCUAAUUAGUUAGAGGGUAUCGAGUUGAUAACACUAAGCUUCGUUGGUGGUCGACGUCGCGAGACUCCGGUAGCGAUGAUUUUACUGAUAAUUCAUCGUCCCGUUUACCGCCCCGAACAAGAUUUCUUUCAGUGGUGGUAGAUUCUAAGAUCGAGUCUCACUUUGCUGCUCCAAAAAGGUAAAUACACCAUCGUCCUUCUUUUUGCUUCAAUUUAGUAUUUCCUGCUUCACCCCUCUUUCUUCGUAGUUAGUUAUCUGUUUGUAGAUGAAUGAGGCUGGGUUGUUUGCUGUAGAGGCUGCAAUGGGCCAUGGGUUCCUCUUUAGUAUGGAAGAAUGUUUAGUGGAGUUGUUAUGUUAGGUUGUUUCCUGUUUGAAUUUUUUGAUGUGUGGUUUAUGUCGUUCUCGUCUCGAUUUUAUAGUCUGUCUAAUAAUCUCGACAUUAUCAAGUACUUUUUGAUAUGGAUCCUUAUCUUGUGUACUCUCUGUGUCUUGAAUCUCCGGUUUUAUGGUCAAAAUUCAUGUCUUGAUUCUUGUUUAAUAGUGCAUCCUGAUUUUUUAUCUCGUUCGAAGUUGAUGUAAGACGCUUUUUCUUGUCUGUUGUUAUUGUUGGGAUGCCGUCAUAACUGUCGAUCUCGAUAGGACCACCUCUUGAUAUCCUUCGGCUUCUCAAAUUCCAAAAGACGGAUGAAGAAACGUCCUACAAUAGGCUAGAAAAUCCUAUGUUUCCUCGAUAGUCGUUUUGACUGUUAAAACUCGUUUGGGUUUGUCAAAAGAGGAUGAGGUUGAUAGUAUCACCCUGCCACCCUCCCUUUUAGCCUUAUCUGUUGUGUUUUCCGUGUGUGGAUUUGAAUUCUUUUUAUCCUUCCUUGUCUUUUAAGUUUGUUACCGGUGCGUGGUUGGGUUAGGGAGAUGAAUGAAAUAGUUGGGGUAUCUUAGUACGCCUAUUUAAAGGGAAUGAUCUAAUUUUGUUUUUUUUUUCUUAUGGAAAUGGAGCGUCACUGUCAUAUGUCCCUAUGAAUACCUAUUGACAGUGGAAAAUAGGUCAAUUUUGUUUCUUUAAUGCGUUUCAAUCAAUUUCUUAAAUCGCGUGCUUAUGUUUUAGGUACGAAUUUCCCAAAAUAGAUCGCAACCCGUGUUCUCCUAUCCCUAAUAACAUAAGAGUAUUAUAUAGUUUGGUAUAAAUUGGUUUAUUUAAAGCGCUUCACUGCAUUUCGAUUUUUAGUAUCGGAAAUGGAUAGUGUUCUUGAUCUGAGUGAGACCUUCCUUGUUUUCCUUAGUCGGAUUGGCUUGUAUAGUGUUUUACUUGUUAAAAUUUUCUUAGUUUUCUGUGUAUUCCUUAUCAUUAGUAAGCACCUGAACCUAUUAGUUAGUCACAAAAGGCAUCGAUUGCGACUUACUAUUAAUGCACAGUUCCUUAACAAAUGUUGUAACAUCUUUAUACUGUGACAAGUGAAAGUUUUUUUUUAUAUAUCCAACGCUUUCACUUAAUGAUCAUUACAUUAGGUUAGGAAAACUGAAGCCCUUCACUGGAAUUGUUUCAUGUAUAUGCACAUUUCUAUGCAAAAUUACUAGGGUGUGAUAUAUUGUUCUCUCUUUGAUUCCCAUAUUAAAGGUCCAAAAUUAGUUACAUGUCGUAAGUUCAUUAAUCUUGUAGCCAGUUUCUCCUUCAUACUUGAUGAUAGAAGUAGUAACUCUCGAAAGCUUUAAGUUUUCUUAAUUUUCUUUGUUAUCUAAAUAUUUGAACGCUUAUUAACUCAUAUAUAUAUUUUUUUUCUCCGCAUGAAUUCACCUGGAGUCCAAACGGACCCUCUUUCUUUUCAUUCCUUAAUGGGGCCAAUGAGGCUCAUCUCAGGGCCAAGCUUGAGGUUCUAAGCUCAAAAGCGAUCCCUUGGCACAUGUACACGUGGAGUUAGGGAAGGACAAUAGAUUAAAGUUCUACGUUUGGAGCAGUUAAGAGGAGAUUAAAGGCAUAUGUUUGGAGCGGUUAAGAGGCGUCAAAAGUCUCCUUCGUCGUCUUAUUUACUAUUUUAUUUAUUUAUUUAUUCAUUUAUUCGGGCCAUGAAGCAAAAGUUCUACUUAAUACAGGUGAAGCAAAAACUCGAGCCAAAGGGCCCGAAAAUAUAGAAAUAGGACAGGUGAAAGGAGAAAUGGGUUGAAAAACCAACUAGAAUAGGACAGGUUUAGCGAUUUCGGCUUCAAAGCCUAAAUCACUAAUUCUCCUCCCUUCCCCUUUCUUUUGAUUAUUUGUUUUGCAUGCCUUUUUUGCGAACCUAGUCAAAUCCCCUAACGAAUUUGCUAAAAAUUAACUUUCGCAAACUUUCAAAGUAUUUCUAAAAGUCAACCAUUUUUCAAUAAAUCAAAUUUUAGAAAGUUAAUCAAAGACGUUUUCAAACAGUCCAGAUAAUCGCAAGUUAGUGGUCGUUUUAGGUGCCUAACACCUUCCUAAAACGUUAAUAGGAACCGCUUACUCAAAAUUUCUUAACUCAAACGAUUUUCCUAUUUUGAAUCGUUUGAAGUACUUUACAAAGGUUUCUUAAUUCCUUUUUAAAAUUAAGUGGCGACUCUCUUAAAAGUCAAAAUUUCUCCGCAAAAUCGAAAUGGCGACUCUGCUGGGGACCUAACUAGGUUCUAACCAAAUGUUUUAUUUCGUAUUUGAUUAACUAUUUAUGUGUUUAUGUGUUUCAAUUAUGUAAAGUUUAAUUAUCGUAUCUCAUGGCAUUUCCUGCAUCUUAUAAACUGUUUUAGGGUUUCAUGGAUGUCCCGGCCCUUGUUGUUCAAUUCCAAAAUGUGUUGGAAAUACGAAUAGCUUAUUAGCACAUUAGUCGUCUGACGCUGUUCGUAUUUUCAAACUCAAGUUGUGCGCUUGAGAACCAGUGUCCAAGCCCACUCUAGACAUCGAGGAUAGAACGAAACCAAAACCCUAUUUUAGGCAUAUGCCUAGGACGACCCAAUAUCCGAGCGGGGCAUUGGGCCCAUUAGAAAACCUUCCCUAUGUAUAUUUGACCCCGAGUCAAUCACUGAAGAACCAUGCUUAUGUGUUGAAGAAAUAUAUGCUUGUCUAAAUUCAAUAUGUUAUCCUUUGGGGUCGGGGAAAGGCUUAUUUUGUCUUCUUUUAUGUAGAUAUGACUCAAUUGCAUUCUCGUGAAAAGUUCAAGAUGGUCACCAAACCCGACGAUUACUUGAAACUGUGGUGGGAUUACAUGGGUACAGAAGAGAGAAAGAUUGUUAGAACACACAUUGGGCAUCUUCCUUCUUUGAUCGAGAUGGACGCUUGGCCCGAAAUGAUCCAUGUACUAACAACUUUUUGGAAUGAUUAGAACAUGGUAUUUCGCUUCGGGGAUGUUGAAUUUACCCCCACCAUUGAAGAGGUAUUGAUUUGCUAGGAGAUUACGGAAAUGUGUUUUAAGAGAAAGGAGACACCGAAUAAGAAUAUUUUAGUCCCAGAUGUGUGGGAUCGUCAAAAGAUCAAGGAAGCAUUUUUAACUGAUGACGACACCUGGCUAGGAGAACGGGAUGGAGCAAAUAUCACUUUUCGUGAGUUGUACCAUCGGUUUGGAAAAUUCAACUUUUUUCACAAAUUUAGGCAUAAAUUGGAGUCGAAAGCAAAAUGGAAGGAAACGAGAGCUUUUACAUUCACGGUAGGCCUACUUGGAACCAUGGUGUUCCUGCAGGGAAAAAAUGGAACAAUUCAUCCGAGGGUUGUCACAGUGACCCAUGCCCUCUUCUUUGGAAUGUAAUACUAUCCUAAAAAAGUAUUCCACAACUUAGUCCCCAUGAUUGUCACCGACAUAUACCGCGCUUUGGGAAGAUGUCAAGUCGAGAAUCAUUUCUUUCAAGGCCGCAACCUUAUAUUACAAUGGUGGAUGAUGAUGCAUUUGGUGAAAAAUCCUAGAACGGCACAACCUGAUCACAAAACAAGGAGAAAUCUGCUAGAAUCGCACGACAUGUGGUUAUUUUUACACUAGUUCAAAAGGGAAGCAUCCCACGAAUUUUGGUUUAAGACUCUUGGAGAAUUAUGAGAUAGCGAUGUCCAAUGGUCCCUUAACUAUCUUCGUUCAGGGAAAUACAUCAUUCGAGGGGGCGAAUGGCCUUUUUUAGUGCUCUCGGGUCUCAUGGGAACCCGCCCCUACCAGGAUAGGCAAUUCGAGAUCAAGCAGGAGACGCCUCAAAUCAAUUCUAUGCUCAAAUUCUUCACCGAAUAUGAUGAAAGUAAGCCCUCGCUCAAAUACUACAUGAUAAAUAGAUGGAGAAGGAAAAAGUGGGUAGAAGUCUCUUUCCGUAUAGGGUAUGAACCUGAAGUCAGCGACACUUACAAGGAGUGGUUGAAAAAGAUCCUCGCCGAAGCAUUGAAUCCGGGACCAAAUGUGCCCACUCGGGUUGUGGAUGUAGAAUCCGAGCAUUAAAUUCGGCUUCACAGGCUACAAGAUGAGUUCCAGAAAAGUGAAAUUGCACACCGGCAGAUGCACAUGGAAGACGCUUUGACCAUACAUACAUUGAGGGAAGAGUUAUAAAGAGCUAGGCAAGACGUUGAUGAUGCCAGACAAUGCCUAAUUGAUUUGGACGAUAGCAUGGCCUCCCAACUUGACAGCAUAGGAGAAAUAACUUACGACUGCAAGGCACAAUUAUACGGGAGUCACCUUAUCAUCAAUAGGUAUCAAAUAGCACAUGAGGUAAACAAGGCAAAGAAGGCGAAAGCAGACGAAGAAGCCUCCAGUAGCUAGCUUUUCUAUUCUCCCCUGCGCGGGAACUUAUCUUCUUUCAUAUUAUUUCCUCGUUUCCCUAAAAAUUGUAUCCCUGUUUCAUUAUCUUUUGUAGGAAUUUAUGCCCCUUUUGUGUCUAUAUGAGUUGGGGUUUAAUGGAUUGACUUUGAGGAAGCAUAUCUUUUCUUCAAAAAAUAGUUAGGCCUGAACCCUUGGCUCAAAAAGGGUCACCCCAAUUAGGAUACACGUUAUUUUAAUGUCUUGUGUGAUAUAAUUGUUUUAUGUGCUUAUAUACGUUGGUUGAGAUCAAAGGCAAGUUUAUCCACUAUGACGUACGAAUGAAUUUGGCUAUGACUUGAACAACUCUGUGUGAUUAUUUCCUGUCAAAUAUUUUGCAUUACUUAUCACAUAUGGAAGCUAACACAUUUACCUUUGAGUUGUUUUGAUUUGCAAAUAAUAGAAAUUACUCCAUGUUGAUAAACUGGCAGAAUAUCCCUACUUCACCCGAUAGAAAGCACAGAAAAUCCCAUCCUCGGAUCAUCAUUCAAAAAUGACAGGAAAUGAUGAAGAAAGUGCACUGGCUAUCUGGGAUAAUAUGAUAACGGAACAGAAUGAGAUGAUUGCGAAACUUGCAAGAAAAUUAGAAUUGCUUCAGGAGGAAAUAAAUCGCACUCGAGAAUUGGCUAACUUGGCCAUCACCGUCAAUGCCCCUGCUUCGGGGGGACACAGGACUCCACUCCAAAUCCCUCCCCUCAGUACCCCUAUUCUUGAGGACCAACCAACUAACAUAUCAUCCAGCUCCGCUCCUUCAUUUGUCCAAAACACUAAUCGUGAAAAUAAUCCAAACGCCUACCAUCCAUAAAAUCCAUCCGCAAACCCACAAAACCCGUCUUUGAAUAUAUUCCCAAAUCCUUAAAACACAUUCUCAAAUCAACAAAACGCAUUCCCAAAUCUGCAGGAUUUACUCCCAAAUCCACAAAAUACGGCAAACCUACCUUCGAAUCCACCAAAUUUAUUUCCAAAUCCGUAAAAUCCCUCUCAUAUUCCGCCAAACUACUUACAAGGCCCACAUAACCUUCCCAAUUUCCAAAAUGUUCUCCCCACUUACCAACCAAAUUUCCUCCAUCUGCAAAAUCAAGUCUUCCUUCCAAAUCCCCCUCAAGCUAUCGUAUCCCCUGAUAUUUAUGAACCCCUUCCUAACUCUGAGAUGGACCAUUACGAAGAGAAGGAGAAGGAAUGGAGGACCCAGCAUGAAAGGAAUUUACUAGCCAUGCAAGAAGAGAUCAUGAGGAUCAAAGAGUCUCACGGGGCCAAAGAACACGAUGGUUUGGGGUAUGACGAUUUGUGUGUUCACCCAGGAGUAGACCUACCAGAAGGAUACAAGGUCCCUAUGUUUGAGAUGUUUGACGGUACCGAAAAUCCAAUGGCCCAUCUAAGAAGGUACUGCGAGCAACUAGUAGGGAUAGGGAAAAAUGAGGCGUUAUUAAUGCGCCUAUUCAGUCGAAGUUUGAAUGGUGAAGGCUUGGAGUGGUUCAUGUCUCAGGAGCCGAAAAGGUGAACUGGUUAGAAGACAUUGGCCAAGAGUUUCCUUGACUAGUUCGCAUUCAACAUUGAAAUAGUCCCUGAUCGGUAUUCACUAGAUCGGAUUGAACAAAAAAGCCUUGAGAGUUUUCGAGAUUAUGGUUUUCAUUGGAGGAAAGAAGCUUCCAAAGUGCAGCCCCCCAUCUCCGAGGAGAAAAUGGUAUUCGUGUUCUCUCACGCUCAAGAAAGAGAAUAUUAUAACAGGAUAGUGUCCGCUGUCAGAGCAACCUUUGCAGAUUUGGUAAAAAUAGGUGAAUUAUUAGAGGAAGGUAUUCGGACAGGAAAAAUUGCCAAAACCCCAACAUCAUUUGGAACUGCCAUGUUUUCUAAGAUGAAGAAGGAAGAGGUAGGUGGGGUUUCUGCCAAUUCUAUUACAAAAUUGAAACCGCGGUGCAAUUCUAAAAACAUUUUAUCUUCCCCGCCAUCACCUAACCUUCUGCACGCAUUCUAUGUCCACCCCUAAUACCAAACUCCACUCCCAAACAUCCCACCAUCAUACCAAGCUCCAUAGCCAAAUAUCUUUCCCCAAUACCCAGUUCCACCUCCAAAUUAUCAGUUUUAUUUCCAAACUACUCCCCCAAAUAGCUGAACAAGUUUCUAAACACCUCUAAAUUAUCACCAAGUACCCUCUCCUACAAACCUAAGCCCAUAUAACCCUCAACGUCCAAACCAUGAAAAAAAACCUCCCCGAAACUUCACCCUACUAGCUGAAAGUCGCACCCAAUUGUUUGAAAUAUUGAAGAAUAUUGGUCAUUUGCAACCAGUACAACCUAAGCCUAUCAAUCCUAGCUCCCGAUUUUAUCACCCUGAUCAAAAUUAUGCCUAUCAUUCAGGGGCAGCAGGGCAUAGUACCGAGGGCUGUCUUAUCUUGAAGCACAGAAUCCAAGAUCUGAUUGAUCAAAAGAUCAUCACGCUCCAAGCACCUACUUCAAAUGUUAGCAGUAAUCCACUGCCCAACUAUGGGAGAUCUACAGUUAACAUGAUUGAAAUAGAAGGCGAAUGGGCAUCUGGCAAGACCAUUACUUAGGUGAAUUCCAAAAAGUCCAAAAGAGUGAAAGAGGUAGGAAAGAUAGAGAAACGUGUGACUGCCUUAAGUAUCAGUGAGAAAGCCCCAUUUAUAGUGAUGACUGCACCGACUCAAGUGUAUGCUCCCCCUCCAAAGAAGGAAUUUAUUGUACAAACCACCGCUGCCCAUGGGAUGAUGCGAUCAGGACGAUGUUACAUCCCUGAGAAAUUGACCAACAAAAAAGAUUCACAAAAAAGGCCAAUCACUGAAGGAGCGGCUGAGGAAUUUUGAAGGCGUAUGCAACCAAAGGAUUACUCAAUUGUCAAACACUUGGAGAAAACGCCAGCCUAAUUCUCUGUCUUGGCACUAUUAUUGAGCUCGCAACACCACCGAAAGGCUCUGUCGAAGGUCUUGGAGGAAGCGUAUGUUCCCGCAGGAACGAGCAUUGAGAAUUUGGCUGCGAUGAUAGGGAAUGUUGUGAGGAACCAUCGCAUAUUAUUUAAUUAUGAAGAGUUGCCAUUUGAAGGAGCAAUGCACAACAAAGCCAUGCAUGUCACCGUCAUUUAUCUAGAUUAUGCAAUUAAUCAGAUAUUAAUAGACGAUGGAUCUGGUGUAAAUAUUUGUCCCCUCUCCACGCUGGUCCAAAUGGGCUAUGAUCUGGGGAAAAUUUGUCAAAGCUACAUAAAUAUGAGAGCAUUCGAUGGAGGGUAGAGAGAUACCAUAGGAGAGAUUGAUUUGCACAUCCAAAUGGGGCCUGCUGAGUUUAAGACUAAGUUUUAUGUUAUGGAUAUUCAUCCUAGCUACAAUCUGCUUUUGGAAAGACCAUGGAUACACGGGGCAAAGGCAAUUUUAUCACCCCUUCAUCCAUUAUUGAAGUUCAUUUGGAAAGAUCAUGAAGUAGUCAUCCAAGGAGAAGGAAGUCGAGCAGAUCAUCCCAAUGGUUAUGUGCCGGUGAUUGAAGAUGUUCCAAAAGGUAGCAGUUUCCAUACAGUGGAAAUUGUAAACGCUGUAGAAAGAGAUUCGACACCCAAAAUAUCAAUGCCUUCUGUCUGCAAAAUAAUUGCAACUGUGAUGUUAAGAAAUGGGUUCAAACCUGGUCGAGGCUUGGGCAAGAAUUUACAAGGAAUUAUCGAGCCUAUUAUGAUCCCAGAGAGAAGCUCUAAGUACGGGUUAGGGUAUUAGCCUACCAAAAAAGAUAGGGUUGCGGAUGAGCCAGAAAAGAGUCUGAUUAGGCCCUUGCCACUCCAGUUCCAGUCAUUUCCCGUACGAGAGAUGUCAGAUGAUGAUAGUCUUGGGGAUGGGAUAAGAGAUUUAUUUGAAGGAUGAAAUGCUGUACCAGAAGAUCUCCCAGAGUCCAACGGGGUGAAGUAGAUUGCGCUAGGAGAGGCUUUGCAAAAUUAGACCUCCACUCCACUCAUAACCCGUCGCCUGUUGUGGUAGAUGAAAGGACAAUUACUAAUAGUUUUGAAAUCAGUGAUGAUCCGGAGAAGGCCCCGGGAUCCACCUUUUAUAUCUCAAAACUUUAUUUUCAUAUCUUACUGCUUUAAAAAAAGGGGGCUUGUAUUUGUGCAAGUUACAAGCCAUGGUGUUGUAAUUAUUUCUCAAAUUUCAAUGAAAAGGCCUUCAUUUAUUUGGAAAACUAUAUUAGUUCUAAAACUCUCCUAGUCAUAUGUUUUGUUAUUUUCUUAUCAUUUAACUUAGUUUGUUUGUCCAUUACAGUAACAAUAGCUUAAAACCUGCCAAUGUUGUGUCAUAUCAAAGCCUGAACUAACAAAAUGAAAGGGGCGAUGAUGGUUGUAAGGACGAUGACGAGGAACGGUUAGUUGAAGAUAUGGAUGAAUUUGAGAAUCGCAAAAAACCCAAUCUGGAAGAAAUUGAAAUAGUUAACUUGGGAGAUCACGAUGAAAUCAAAGAGACCAGUAUCAGUGUCCACCUUGCGGCGCCACAAAGGGAAGAGCUCAUUCACCUAUUGCGGGAGUAUAUCAACGUGUUUACUUGGUCAUAUGAUGAUUUUACAGGGUGGAGCAUCAGCAUUGUAUCACAUAAAUUGCCGAUAAAUUCUGAGUUUGAUCUAGUCAAGCAAAAAAUGAGAAAAUUCAAGCCAGAUUUAAGUCUAAAGAUCAAGGAAGAAGUGACAAAACAAAUCCAUUCUAAGGUUGUCGAGGUCACAAAAUAUCCGACAUGGUUGGCCAACAUCGCCCUUGUGCCAAAGAAGGACGACAAAAUUCGAAUUUGUGUUGACUAUAGAGACUUGAAUAGAGCCAGUUCUAGAGAUAAUUUUUCAUUGCCCAACAUCCACAUUCUCAUCGAUAACUGUGCAAAACAUAAAAUAUAGUCAUUCGUUGAUUGUUUCGCCGGCUAUCAUCAGAUACUGAUGGAUGAGAAAUAUGCAAAAAAAAUGGCUUUUAUUACGCCCUGGGGUGUUUAUCAUUACAGGGUAAUGCCGUUUGGUCUCAAGAACACAGGUGCGACAUAUAUGAGGGCCAUGACAAUGAUUUUCCAUGAUAUGAUCCAUAAGGAGAUUGAGAUGUACGUGGUUGAUGUAAUUAUCAAAUCCCGCAAGAGUUCGAAUCAUCUAACUCAUCUGGAGAAAUUCUUCAAAAAAUUAAGAAGGUACAGUUUGAAGUUAAAUCCUGUUAAGUGUGCUUUUGGUGUGCCAUCAGAGAAGUUGUUGGGGUUCAUAGUCAGCAGAAGGGGAAUCGAGCUAGAUCCAUCCAAAAUCAAGACAAUUCAAGACUUGCCACCGUCGAGGACCAAGAAAGAAGUUUUGAGUUUCCUGGGUCAUCUGAAUUACAUUUGCAGAUUCAUCGCUCAAUCAACAGUCAUAUGCGAGCCAAUUCUCAAGAUGUUGAAGAAAAAUGCACUGAAUGAGUGGACAGAAGAAUGUCAGAGAGCUUUUGAUCGCAUCAAGGAAUACUUGUCUGCACCACCGAUUUUGGUCCCACCAAGAGAAGGAAUUCCAUUAUUGCUUUCCCUGCCAGUCUCAGAAAAUACUUUUGGAUGCGUCCUCGGGCAACAUGAUGAGACCGGCAGAAAAGAGAAAGUCAUUUACUACUUGAGUAAAAAGUUCACACCAUAUGAAGCCCGUUACACUUUUAUAGAAAGGACAUGUUGUACUUUGACUUGGACGACACAAAAGUUGAGGCCUUAUCUGUCGUCCUACACAACUUACCUCAUCUGGAGAAUAGAUCCAUUGAAGUAUAUAUUCCAGAAGGCCAUGCCUACAGGAAAGCUAGCCAAGUGGCAAAUAUUGCUGAGUGAGUUUGGCAUUGUGUAUGUAACCCAAAAAGCAAUCAAGGGGCAAGCCUUAGCAGAUCAUUUGGCUGAAAACCUAGUUGAUGAGGAAUACGAGCCACUUUGGACAUACUUUCCAGAUGAGGAAGUUUUAUUCGUAGGAGAAGAUAUCACGGAAAUCUACCCCGGAUGGAGGCUAUAUUUUGAUGGAGCGGUCAACUUCAAAGGUCCAGGAAUUGGAGCAGUUUUGGUGUCAGAAAUGGGCCAGCAUUAUUCGAUAACUGCUAAGUUACAUUUUCCAUGCACCAACAACAUGACUGAAUAUGAAGCUUGAAUCCUGGGGCUCAAAUUGGAACUUGAUAUGGGUGUUCGUGAAUUGCUAUCCAUCGGAGAUUCAGAUUUGCUGAUUCACUAGAUAUGGGGAGAAUGGGCGGUAAAAAACUCCAAGAUUACUCCUUAUGUGGAGCUGGUGCAAGAAUUAUGCGGAAGAUUCAAGGAUGUUGAUUUCAGACAUAUCCUACGGACACAAAACGAGUUUGCUGAUGCUUUGGCCAUGAUAUCUUCCAUGAUUCAGCACCUGGAUUAGAGUUACAUCGAUUCUUUGGAAAUAAGCCUGAAGGAGCAACCCGCGCAUUGCAUACACGUGGAAGAGGAGCCUGAUGGAAGGCCUUGGUACUAUGACAUUAAGAUGUAUUUGGAAUCUGGAAUAUAUCCUGAAGAGGCUAGUAACAACCAAAAGAAGACAAUCCGGCGUUUGGCAAAGAAUUACUUUCCAAGUGGAGAAAUUCUUUUUAGGAGGACUCCUGAUUUGGGAUUCCUAAGAUGCGUCGAUGCGGCGGAAGCCAAUAAGUUGAUAAACAAGGUACACGCUGGAGUUUGUGGGUCCCACAUGAAUGGGUUUGUCCUUGCCAGAAAGAUCUUGAAAAUCGGUUACUUCUGAAUGACUAUGGAAUAUGAUUGUAGUAAGUUUGUGCAGAGAUGUCCAAAAUGUCAAAUACACGGAGAUCUGAUUCGAAUGCCUCCACACGAGCUUCACGCAAUGAAUUCUCCUUGGACUUUCAUAGCUUGGGGCAUGGAUGUUAUCGGACCAAUAGAGCCAUCAGCAUCGAAUGGACAUAGAUUUAUUUUAGUCGCCAUCGAUUAUUUCACUAAGUGGGUUGAAACUGCUUUAUACAGAGCCGUCACUAAGAAAGUGGUUGCAGAUUUCGUCAGGAAUAACUUGAUUUGCCAAUUCAAAGUGCCAGAAUCGAUUAUUACUGAUAAUGGGUCAAACCUGAACAGUCACUUGAUGAAAGAAAUUUGUGAUCAGUUCAAGAUUGUGCAUCGUAACUCGACAGUGUACCGUCCCUAAAUGAAUGGAGCCGUAGAAGCUGCUAACAAGAAUAUCAAGAAGAUCUUGAGAAAGAUGGUCAAAAAUCAUGGAUCAUGGGAUGAGAUGUUACGUUACACCUUGCUAGGGUAUCGAACAACCGUUUGAACCUCCACAGGAGCAACUCCCUAUUUACUAGUUUACGGGAAUGAAGCUGUUAUACCCGCUGAAGUCGAAAUACCUUCCCUAAGGAUUAUUUAGGAAGCUGGACUGAAUAACGAAGAAUGGGUCUGUGCUCGCUCUGAACAAUUCAUGUUAAUUGAUGAAAAGAGAAUGGACGCUGUAUGCCAUGGUCAGCUGUAUCAACACAAGAUGGUUCAUGCCUUUAACAAUAAGGUAAGAACUCGAGCAUUUGAAGUGGGGCAACUGGUUCUCAAACGAAUAUUCCCCCACCAAGAGGAGUACAAGGGCAAGUUCGCUCCAAACUGGCAAGGGCCAUACAUAGUUCGCAAAGUGCUAUCUGGAAGAGCUCUAAUUUUGUCUGAGAUGGAUGGCAUAGAGUGGACCAAACCAAUCAAUUUUGAUGCGGUAAAAAAAUAUUAUGUUUGAAUGACGUUCUAGUUUUUGUGUUUUCUUAGUUUGUUUGUAAUCACCUUUGUAAUAAUGUUGUUUGCUAGUGUGUAACUGCCUAGAAUCCUUUCUCUUUAUGCAUGAAUUACGUUUGACCUGAAUUCCCAAGAAAGGGAUAUGUAGGCGGCCUAUGUCGACUUCGGUCAAUCCCUUAGGAAAAUUUAUCCUUUCCCCCCUAUGUAUGAACUACGUGAUGACCUAAAUUCCCAAUAAAAGGGAUAUGUAGGUGGCCUAUGACGGCUUCAGUCAACCCAUUAAUUUCUUUUGUAUAUCCCUAGCGUAGCCUAAACUACGUUUGACCUAAUUCCUGCUUCAACGGGAUACGUAGGUGCCCCAACGGCUCGGUCAUAUAACCCCAAGAAAGAAAAACUGAGGCAGAAUUUUCGAGAAGGAAUCUCAAAAAUUCACAAGAGAAGAUCGACAUCCAACAAAGAGAAUGAAAAUUAACAAAGGCUUCAGAUCCACUCAGAUUGGUAUUAUCUAAAACAAGUUUAAACUGGGGCAAAAAUUUUGAGGAAGACCUCAAAAUUUCCACCAAAUGCCGGAACAUAUUUCAAAUUCCCUAGCACCAGAGGUUAAAGCUUUAGAAACCACCAACUGUAACAAAGUAUGGGUAGACUCAAUUUUUGGCUAUGAUAGAACUACUUGAAGAAACCCUCCAACAAUAAUCAUGAGUUUUGGAAACCGUCCAUCAGAUAUAGUCAGAACCACGAGGAAGACGUUCAUUGAGCUAGUACAUGACAUGACUGACAGAAAUUUUCUAAAAUUUUACAGAAGUUUUCAAAAUUAUUUUCAAAAUUUAAGACUAUUUUCAAAAAUCUUACGACUUACUUACUUAGUACUUGCCUAGACAUCAUUUGGGAUAGAGUGUCACAGUGGAAGUUUCAAUAUGGUGGAAUGCCCAAGAGAUGGCAAGGAGCAAAUCAAGGAUCCAAGAAGGUCAACAUGGAGUAAUUUCAUUCAGCUAAUCAUUUUUCUGUGGAUGUAGGGAUCAAUACGCAAAAUGAGAGUCUCUUUCAAAAAUCCCCGAGCAAAUUGGGAGCCACAACAGAUCAUUAAUGCCCAAGAACGAUAUUUUAGGGCAGCCCUAAAAAUAGGUUUAAUGCCCAUUUAUUGAGGACCUUUUGAUUUGUCCAUCUCAUUUCUUGAGAUCGUAGGCGACAAACAAAAGUACUUUGUCUUCUUUACACGUAUCGUAUUUAGAAGUUUACGAGACACUGACAAAUGAAGCCAGGUAAAAUUAUUUUAUCACUGCCACAAUGGCCAUUGUAUAUCAUUGCUGCAAAGGCCAUCACAUAUCAUUGCCACAAAGGCCAUUACAUAUCUGUUGACACACUAGACGUCGAGGAUAUUAUCAGCAUCAAUAUAUCUGUAGACACGCUAGACACAAUGCUGGCAUAGAGGAUAUCAUCAGCAUCCAAUAUAUCUGUCGACACGCUAGACACAACGCUGGCGUAAAGAAUAUCAUCAGCAUCCAAUAUAUCUGUCGACAUGCUAGACAUGACGCUGGCGUAGAGGAUAUCAUCAGCAUCCAAUAUAUCUGUCGACAUGCUAGACACAACGUUGGCGUCGAGAAUAUCAUCAGCAUCCAAUAUAUCUAUCGACACGCUAGACACAACGCUGGCGUCAAGGAUAUCAUCAACAUCCAAUAUAUCUAUAGACACGCUAGACAAAAGCUGGCAUAGAGGAUAUCAUCAGCAUCCAAUAUAUCUGUCGACACGCUAGACACAACGCUGGCAUCGAGGAUAUCAUCAGUAUUUAAUAUCUGUUGACGCGCUAGACACAACGCUGGCGUCGAGGAUAUCAUCAGCAUUUAAUAUAUCUGUCGACACGUUAGGCACAACACUGGCGUUGAGAAUAUCAUCAACAUUCAAUAUGAAUCAGCAUCUGAAUACAUUAAGAGCACGAUUUGGAGGGACGCUUUCAGGUCGCUAUCUAAGGAUGAAUGAUAUAUAAGAUUUCCUAGCAAUUGACAAUUUGAAGGUCAUCUAUAUGUCAUAUUAUUUGAAAUAGGAUAGUGUGCAAGAUCACCUAUGAGUUGAUAGCCUGUAGGUCAUCCGUAAGCCACAAUAACAUCUUAACCGAAUGGUGUGCAAGAUCGCCCAAAAGUUGAUAGUUCAAAGGUUAUUCGUAAGUCGCAACUAAAUCCUUAUCGGAGGAUAUGCAAGAUUGUCAAAUUGAUACGUCCAAGGGUUCUCUAUAAGCCACGUCAUAUCCAAAAUCGAUUAUAUGUAGGAUUACCCAAAGACGAUCAAUUUGAGGGAUUAUCUAUAAGUCAUAUUAUAUCCAAGGUUAGAGGAUGCGCAGGAACACCUGAAAGCUAGCGAUUGGAGGGAUAUCUGUAAGUCAUCUCUUAUCCAAAGUCGGAUGAUGUGCAGGAUUACCGAAAAGCUAGAAAUUCAAAGGAUAUCUGUAAGUCGCCUCAUAUCCAACAUCAAAUAAUGCGUAAGAUCAUCUGAAGAUUGAAAAUUUAGGGAAAAUUUAUAAAUCAAUCAUCGGCUACAACCGGAGAGGUUAUCAUGCCACAUACAACAAGUGAUAUAGGUAACAAAAAGGGCCACCCCACUUUGAAAACAUAUUCGCUCGACAGAUGAGCUAAUUAUCCAACAACCAAGAAGGUUGUUGUGUCUGUUAUUGCGAGUUAUUUCCCAUCAAACAGAUACAAUAAAGGAUGACUUUGCUUUUCAGGCUACAACUCACGUGGAGAUAUGGUAAAAGAUUACUUACCUCUUUCUUGAAUUAUGUUUAAUACUAACACUUUUUGCCUGAAGCAUUGUCAAGAGCAUCUGAGAGGAUAAAAAUCUCAAAUCAAAACCACAGGUGCGGACGACUCCAAAAAGGACGCAGCACAAUGUGGAACUCUUUCUCAGCAGCAAAAUGGGACAUAGUCUGGAGAGGGAUGUCAAACUCUCUAGACGCGAGCUAAAUGAUGAUCAUCACCACCAUUUAACCACGCCUCUAUUAGAAGGAAUAUGGGUAUUUUUCGGAUAUUCUGGUCUCACCUUUACCUCUGGGAUGUUUGUUAACUCAUACUGAGGGGAACUUUUUUUUUCUUUCAAAUUCGGGUGGCAACACAAUUAGAGUUUUGGAAAUUAUGUCCGGGUAAGUUCUUACCUAUGGAUGUGAAGAGCUCCACAUUCAUGGCUAAGAGGUUACAAGCCUCUUUUCUGCAACUCGAUUAACUUGUCACUCAUCCCGAGCUAAAGAUCGUCUAAAAUAAAAGACUAUCUUUUUUACCGAUUGAGUCGAACUACAAGCAAUCUGAUUACCUAAAAUCUUUGGGAUAUGUAGGCUGGGAUCUAUGUAGGAAACUUGACUGUAUUCCAACCUUCCCCCCAAAUCCCUUUAUUCCCCAGCUUCCCAGUUUAACCGAAGCACUCUAAAACCGUGAUAGUUGGUAAGUUUUCUUGAAAAUCAUGCUUAGAAUCAAGCUUUACGAACUACAAGUGGCCUGAAUUCUCAUGAAACCUGAGAUAAGUAGGAAACCUGAUACCGGGGUUCGACAAUAACUCCACGAAACUCGUGCGGAAAACCAACCUCUCUUAGAUACAAAUUUAUGGUCGGAAAAAAAUUAGGAACGUCAACCUCCCUUUGCCCAGAAUUACUUGCAUUCAUCCUACACAAAGGGAGGGGGCAGUUGUUGACACCUAAUUUUUGCCCUCUAUAACCUAGUUUAAUUUUAAGCUUCCUCGAUUUUUGAUAAAAUCAAAAUAUUUCUUUCGUAUGAAUAGAAAUUUCUCCAAAAAAAAAACAAUAUGCAUCUGGGCAAGUUUGUCAUCUUAAGUGAUGAUUAUACAUUAUCGUAUUCAAUUAUACGAAAUUAUGUAAUUUAAUUACUUAAAUAACUAUUUUACGGAAUAUCGGAUUUUAAUCAAGGAUUAUUUUGAAGAUAAAUCUAAAUUGAUAAAGUCUUGAUUUUAAAUAUGAUUUGCUCUCGAAAAUAAUUUAUUUGGAAAAAUAUUUGAUUAACUUUAUCAAAUCAAGAAGCUGAAGAUUAAACAAGGUAUUAAUUCGUAUCGAAUCUCGAUUAAAUUUAGUCAAUUUAUUAAAUUAGACCAUAAUUGAAAUCAAGUUGAUCAAAAUUGUAAUGAAAUUGAUCAAAUUGAUAUCCGAUUUGGUUAAGAUUUAAGUAAAAUUGGCUAAAAAUUAAUUUUGUUUGACCAUUAUUAAAUUACCAAAUUUCUACCCCUUUUUAUUUUAAAUUGGACCCAUUAACAUUCAGCAAUAACAUUUAAAGUUGGCCCAACCAGCCCAAUAUCCCUUUAGUAACCAGCCCAUCCGGGUUUCAACCCGGCCCACCCCUUCCAUUCCCCUUCUUUUCUAAAACAAGGACACACCAACCUCAGUCUUAAACACCAACAGCAACAUCAUGCGAAUCCACCAGCCCCGAUAACCCAAACCCAUCUUCAACCCACGACCAACGGAAAAACCCAACCUCAACCUAUUUGUGGUAUUCUUCAUGCGUUCCACGCGAUAGUACGACGAGGAAGGACCUCGAAGCUUCUAGAAAUGGGUGAGUUGGCUCGCCCCAACGUCCAAAUUUCGUAAUUUUCGGGAUAACUUGUACGAAUCCGUACAUUGGUGGAGAUUUCUAAACGGUUCUUGAAGAUGAUUCCCCUUUCUCUAAUUUGGAUUGGUUGGCCUUAUUUUGAAAUUCACCGAGUUGUAAAAGCGGUUAGACAACAUACCUAUCAAAAUUUUGGAAUUCAAAUUUCCUUUUUGUUUUUUUCCUAACUUACCCCCAUAAACGAAUCCUAGCCUAUUCUCUAUAAAAAGCUAUUUUAGGAGGUUGAAGAGGGGGAUUUUUUUUAGGUUCUAGGGUUUCGAAAAACUGAAGAAGAAAUCUUUAUUGAGAGUUAAAGGGGAUUCAAAAAUUGGGAGGUGAAAAUUUAAGGUUCGAGAAUUUGAGAAGAAAAUCAACAUUAACAUUUCUUUUUAGCAAACGAAUUUCCUUUUCUAUCUUCCUCUGAGAGUUAGCUGAUUAGUUAGAGGGUAUCGAGUUGAUAACAUUAAGCUUCGUUGGUGGUCGACGUCGCGAGACUCCGGUAGCGACGAUUUUACUGAUAGUUUGUCGUCCUGUUUAUUGCCCCGAACAAGAUUUAUUUCAGUGGUGGUAGAUUUUGAGCUCGAGUCUCACUUUGCUGCUCCAAAAAGGUAAACGCACCCUCGUCCUUCUUUCUGCUUCAUUUUAGUAUUUCCUGAUCCAUCCCUCUUUCUUCGUAGUUAGUUAUCUGUUUGUCGAUGAAUGAGGCUGGGUUGUUUGUUGUAGAGGCUGCAAUGGGCCAUAGGUUCCUCUUUAGUAAGGAAGAACGUUUAGUGGAGUUGUUAUGUUAGGUUGUUUCCUGUUUGAAUUUUUUGAUGUGUGGUUUCUAUCGUUCUCAUCUCAAUUUUGUUUUCUAUCUAAUAAUCUCGACAUUAUCAAGUACUUUUUGAUAUGGAUCCUUAUCUUGUGUACUCUCUGUCUUGAAUCUCCGAUUUCAUGGUCAAAAUUCAUUUCUUGAUUCUUGUUUAAUAGUGCAUCCUGAUGUUUUGUCUCGUUCGAAGUUGAUGUAAGACAUUUUUUCUUGUCUGUUGUUAUUGUUGGGAUGCCGUCAUAACUGUCGAUCUCGAUAGGACCACCUCUUGAGAUCCUUCGGCUUCUCAAAUUCCAAAUGAAGGAUGAAGAAACGUCCUACAAUAGGCUAAAAAAUCCUAUGUUUCCUCGAUAGCCGUUUUGACUGUUAAAACUCAUUUGGGUUUGUCAAAAGAGGAUGAGGUUGAUAGUAGCACCCUGCCACCCUCCCUUUUAGGCUUAUCUGUUGUGUCUUCCGUGUGUGGAUUUGAAUUCUUUUUAUCCUUCCUUGUCUUUUGGGUUUGUUACCGGUGCGUGGUUGGGUUAGGGAGAUGAAUGCAAUAGUUGGGGUAUCUUAGUAUGCCUAUUUAAAGGAAAUGAUCUAAUUUUGUUUUUUUUUUACUUAUGGAAAUGGAGCGUCACUGUCGUAUGUCCCUGUGAAUACCUAUUGACAGUGGAAAUUGGAUUUACAGGUCAAUUUUGUUUCUUUUAUGCGUUUCAAUCAAUUUCUUAAAUCGCGUGCUUACGUUUUACGUACGAAGUUCCCAAAACAGAUCGCAACCCGUGUUCUCCUGUCCCUAAUAACAUAAGAGUAUCAUAUAGUUUGGUAUAAAUUGGUUUAUUCAAAGCGCUUCACUGCAUUUCAAUUUUUAGUAUUGGAAAUGGAUAGUGUUCUUGAUCUGAGUGAGACCUUCUUUGUUUUCGUUGUGAUUGGCGUGUAUCCUGUCCAACAUUUAGGGACAUAGUUGAAACUACUGUACUCUGAUUCAUCUGUUGCAUAAAUUUAAGUAUCCAUUUUGGGGAAUUAUCUUCUGCGCUUCAGUUUUGUAUUUCAGGUAAGUGUUUUGAUUGCCAAUUGUUAAAAUUUUCUUAGUUUUCUGUGUAUUCCUUAUCAUUAGUAAGCACCUGAACCUAUUAGUUAGUCACAAAAGGCAUCGAUUGCGACUUACUAUUAAUGCACGGUCCCUUAACAAAUGUUGUAACAUCUUUAUACUGUGACAAGUGAAAGUUUUUUUUAUAUAUCCAACGCUCUUUCACUUAAUGAUCAUUACAUUAAGUUAGGAAAACUGAAGCCCUUCAAUGGAAUAUAUGCACAUUUCUAUGCAAAAUUACUAGGGUGUGAUAUAUUGUGCUCUCUUUGAUUCCCAUAUUAAAGGUCCAAAAUUAGUUACAUGUCGUAAGUUCAUUAAUCUUGUAGCCAGUUUCUCCUUCAUACUUGAUGAUAGAAGUAGUGACUCUGGAAAGCUUUAAAUUUUCUUAAUUUUCUUUGUUAUCUAAAUAUUUGAACGCUUAUUAACUUAUAUAUAUUUUUCCUUUCCUCUGCAUGAAUUCGCCUGGAGUCCAAACGGACCCUCUUCCUUUGCAUUCCUUAAUGGGGCCAGUGAGGCCCAUCUCAGGGCCAAGCCCGAGGUUCUAAGCUCAAAAGCGAUCCCUUGGCACAUGAACACAUGGAGUUAGGGAAGGACAAUAGAUUAAAGUCCUACGUUUGGAGCAGUUAAGAGGCGAUUAAAGGCCUACAUUUGGAGCGGUUAAGAGGCGUCAAAAGUCUCCUUCGUCGUUUUAUUUACUAGUUUAUUUAUUUAUUUAUUCAUUUAUUCGGGCCAUGAAGCAAAAGUUCUACUUAAUACAGGUGAAGCGAAAACUAGAGCCAAAGGGCCCGAAAAUAUAGAAAUAGGACAGGUGAAAGGAGAAAUGGGUUGAAAAACCAACUAGAUUAGGACAGGUUUAGCUAUUUGGGCUUCAAAGCCUAAAUAACUAAUUCUCCUCCCUUCCCCCCUUUUUUUUAUUAUUUGUUUUGCAUGUCUUUUUUGCGAACCUAGCCAAAUCCCCUAACGAAUUCGCAAAAAAUUAACUUUUGCAAACUUUCAAAGUAUUUCUAAAAGUCAACCAUUUUUUGAUAAAUCAAAUUUUAGAAAGUUAAUCAAAGACGUUUUCAAACAAUCAGGAUAAUCGCAAGUUAGCGGCCGUUUUAGGUGCCUAACACCUUCCUAAAACGUUAAUAGGAACCGCUUACUCAGAAUUUCUUAACUCAAAUGAUUUUCCUAUUUUGAAUCGUUUGAAGUACUUUAUAAAGGUUUCUUAAUUCCUUUUUAAAAUUAAGUGGCGACUCUCUCAAAAGUCAAAAUUUCUCCGCAAAACACAUCACACAUACAUUCAUUCAUACAUUCAACAUUCAUUCAUACAUAAUCAACAUCUAACAAAAGACUAUACUUAUAAGCUACAUGAGUCUUACAAGAUACACUUCAUAAGUCUUACAAGACACUCUAUCUUACAAGACACACUUCACAAAAAUAAGGACUACUAUUCAUUUAAAAACUAAACAGAAUAUUUAAAAGAAAAAUUUCAUAUUCUAACAGUUCAUCUAUGACACCUUAACUUGGUCACAACUUUGAGAGUGCAUGUCUACACAACUAAAUACCCCAACUCAUCCUGUCACGACCCGAGCCGGGGCCUUAGCCGCGACGGGCGUCCCGAACCGUGAAGGCCCGAGCGCCCUUCUCUAUCUGGCAAUCAUACACACGUUCAUAUAAUAUGAAGGAAAAUGUGGAAAUAUAAAACAAUACGGAAUCAUGGUCACUAUCAUAAUUCAAUUGAAUAAUCUGUGAUGGAAACCAUAAACCUCGAAACAACUUUAAACAUCAGUCUGUGAAAUCUCUAACAACUGAAAAUGGCAUUUGUCUGAAAUCUGGGACAAGGCCCCCAGUCGGUCCAUGAAUCAAAAUGGAACAAUAAUAACAAGCUCUAAUACCGGCCUUCCGAAGUAAAGAAGGCUCACCAGCUGCAAACUUCUGACACACACGAAUCUACUAUUGUAUGGGACUGCGGGACUCUGCCUCGGAUCCUGAGAGGGAGGAGGAGGGGGUCAAUACAGAUAUACUGGUACGUAGAGCAAUCCAAAAUAAUGAAUUUAUACAUAUAUAACAUAGGUGAGAGCAAGUCAUAAAACAUUAUGCGUGAAAUAGUUUAAAAUACAUGGGCCAUUUCAAAAGAUCUCAAAACAGUCUUGUCAAUGCAAUGUCAUUCUUUGUAUUACUUCUGAGCUAGGUGGUACAGCCUACAUAUCUGAAAGUUUCUCACGAGCAAUAUGGGAUCCUUCAUUAACUCGACGGCCAAAUCCCCAACCCAAGUUUGCUGCAAGGGUUGAAGUAUCUGAAUCUGAUACACCUCAGGGCUCUAGGCCAACGUAUAAUAAUAUACCUGUAUCGGCAAAACACGGUUUCGGGCAAUAAAUCAUAUGACUCAUGCCUUCUUUGGGUAACCACCUUACUCUCUUAGUGCCCAGUUUUAACCCAUUCUAAACAUGCAUCUUUCUGAAUUCAAAAUCUGAAAUCUAAAAUGAAAUCUGUAUUCUGUUCUGAGUUUUAUCAUGACUUUAUCUGAUUUGGUAUCGUCAUACCAAGAUUUGCAAUUCAUAAUUCUGAGCCAUAAAAUAUCAUGUUACAGUCUUUUCAUUCAAAACAUAAAGUUUGGACCACCAUAUCAUUCAAAUAGUGCAAGAGAAUCCAUAUUUCAAUCAUAUGUAAAAAUUAUGCAAGGCUCUCUCUUUUAGACAUUUCAACAAACAUGUGGUGGUCAAGUAUUUUGUAACAACCCAUGCAAUCUCUUUGAAUCACCACUUUUCAUUUAUAUUAGCAAGAAUCACCCUCUCUUUUCAAUUCAAAACCAUGAUCAAGUCAUAAGCAAUAAUCAAGACCUUUGUAUCAUGCUUCUCAAAAAUGCAUUUUGAAGCAAUCCAUAUCGUAUGAAAAUAAUGGGAAAUCAUAGAAAGAGAGGGAUUCUAUAUUUUCAUGUUCUCAAUUAAAUCUUCAAACUCAAUUUAAUACAUAUAUAUAUACAAGUACAAAUAAAUUUGGGAAAAAGGCCUCAAGACCAAAUAAUAAUAUCACUAGAUAAUUCAUAAAGCAAGAUUGUAAACAUAAUUCCAAAACCCAUUGCAAAUUCAUGAUUUCUCAAUAUUCAAAGCAUUAUUAAAAACGUUUUCACCAUGUACAUGUAGUUUAGAAAAACUCCACGUACCUUAGAUUAUAGAAUUUGAAAGGUGGAACCCGGAUCCUAGUCCGUUUCUUGAAAUUCUUGAUCUUAGGGAUGAGUUCUUGAUCUUUAGAAGAGAAGGAAACUUGAAUAUUGUUCUUGAAGUUCUUGAGAGAAAGGGCGGAUGAUUUCAAUUUGGGGAAAUGAAUUUAGGGCUAAAAAUGCUGUUUUAGGACUGAUAUUAUGUGGUUUGGACUAUUUGGGUCGAGGGAAAAAAGACUAAAAUACCCCUAAUGAAACAAAAAAAAGUCGUAACAGUCCCUCAGUUACAGAUUGACAUGCUGAAGUAAAUUGAGCAUAGCUUUUUACUUCGAUGUUGGAUUUGGACGAAAUCAGUUGCGUUGGAAAGAGAACUCAAAGAUCUUUCAUUUGAUAUAUAGCAGGCCACCCAGUUCAUUAUAUAACAGAAGUUAUGAUCGAUGAAAGUUGACCGAUGUUGAAGUGUCCUCUAAAACUUAAUCGAUGGAAUUGUUUUCAACUCGUCUUAGAAUUAGGGGAUUCUUGUGAGCUCAAUUCAUAUUCAAAGGUUUUUCCACACUAUAGGAGUGAUCACUACACAUACAUUAACAAGUAAUAAUUUAGUUAGGGUCUAUAUGCAAAGGAACGAUUCUCUAAAUUCUAGCCCGAAAGUAUGGGGGUGUUACACAUCCAUAACGUAUCUCGUGGAUACUUGAGGAUGACAUGACACAGAAAUUUUGAAGAUGUCUAGGUGAUUAUUUUAUAAGUUAAAAUUGUUCAACUGAAUCAUGGGGAAAAAACAAGCUGAAAUGUCUAGAAUAUUUAUUGAAAUCAAUAAUGAGAACACUAAAUAAUACACUUUACUUUCUCUUAAUAUUUAGUUUUAUUGAAACAGACAUUAGAGAGUUGACCUGACCUGCUCAACUCUGUUUCUAUAUUAUAAAGAGGCUCAGUGUUGUUGAUUCAACUGAAUAAUGUAAAAGCUCAAUUUGGUUUCAUAUAUACAGUAAACGACAAUGACGCAAAAUAGCAGAUACAGGAAGAGACCUAACAUACUUAUCACCGGAACUCCGGGAACAGGGAAGACAACUACGGCGGCUGUCCUGGCGGAGGUGACGGAGCUCCGCCACAUCAAUGUCGGCGACUUUGCUAAUGAGAAGAACUUGACCAACGGCUGGGACGACACCUUCGAUUGCUACUACAUCAACGAAGACCUCGUAAGUCAGUUUAUGUGUGCCUUGACUAAUUUCACAGAAAACUGUCACCUCUCACCAGGCAACUGGUGCCAGGUAAUUCUAUCUAUGGCCGAGGUUAGGAUACAUAGGAAUCACCUAGUGUUUUUGUCUCGGCUUAGACAGCAGUAUUAAUUUGAAUUUUGUUCAAGUUGUGCUCUUCAAAGUACAACAUAUUUAGUAUCGGAAUAAAAUGGAACGAAUAGAUAUUGUAUUCAUAUAGAUAUGCCCGACUAAGUUAAUUAGGGAUUGAGCUAUAGCUGAUUGAUUAAUUGAUUUGUACUCUCCAAAGCAAUUUUAAUAAAGGGUAACUAGAGUUACAGUUUGAAGUUCUCGCAUACUAAAUUUCCUAUUUCCAGGUCCCGAAUGUCCAUCCAAUGCAUCUUUUCGAUCUUGUACCCUAUGUAGGCUUGAAAAGCAUCGGCACACCAACCCAAUCUCAACGGAAAAAAAAGGGAAAGCACGUACAACCUUAGCAGACUCUAUUCCUGAUGUGAACGUCUACUUUCUUGGAACUAAUUAAUACGCACUUUCCAUUAGUUAGACUUCACACACUAUAUAAACAAAUAGUUGAAGUGUGCGAUAGAAAGAGGGAAAACGAAUUGAUCGACUAUUGAGUGCGAACCCGUAAAUAGGCGACUUUGGGUAGUUCUGGUGUGUUUAACGUCAACUACAACUAGAAGGCAUGCCGAUCUUGCCACCCGUACAUUUCCUUUGAAAUACUAAGGAAAUGUGUUAUUCUAACUUGGAUUAUGUUUUGCUUAUCCAGCUAUGUGAUGAGCUUGAGAAUUUGAUGGAAGAAGGUGGAAACAUCGUUGAUCAUCACGGCUGUGACUUCUUUCCUGAGCGCUGGUUUGACCGAGUUUUGGUGCUUCAAACUGACAAUUCUAUCUUGUAUGAUCGGUUCACUAUGAGGUAAACUAUCAAUUGAUCCUUACUUUUUUGUUCAUGUGCAUAUCUGGUAUCGUCCUGUUGAAUAUGUCUAGACUGUUUGACUGUCCCAGAGGUUACUCAGAUCAAAAGCUUGCUAGUAAUACUGAAUGUGAAAUGUUUCAAGUUUUGCUGGAGGAGGCAAAAGAGAACUAUCCAGAGGAUAUUGUGGUAAUACUAAGAAGUGAUUCUCUUGAAGAUAUUACCAAAAAUGUAGAGAAACUGACCUGUUGGAUUAGUAAUUGGAGCCCUGUCUUAUGAUUAAAGUAUAAGGAGAGAUGUACUUUCUUGGAACUAAAACUAUAGAGAAGGUCAAGAUUACUUUACGUUCAUAUAAUAGAUGUUAAAUCCCCUUGGCUUCUUCAGGAGAUGGUUGUUCCAAUAUUGCCCCUCAAGUUAGGCUAAUGUCUUACUAAGCCUAACUUGAACAUAUUGUGGCUGAAAGCAGGCUUGACCAAUACUUUUGUGAGACUAUCAGCUAAUUGUUAUCAGCAGCAUGGACAUAAAUAUAACACAAACAUUGUUCGAUUGGACGUGCUUGCGCACAAAAGGGAAGUCCACCCCAAUAUGUUUCAUACAGACUGUAAAAGGGACACCAGUGUUAUCAAAGAAAAUGGUUGGUACCUUGUGGAAACAUGUUUUUCGGGUUGAAAUUGGGGGUAGGGGAAGGGGAUUUGGAGGGGAUUACAAUGUGGAGAAAAUUCAGGUUGCCAACAAACUGAACUAUUAACAUUCCCCAGCAUGUUGGAUGUUACAAUCUAAUCUCAAUAUUUAUGAAGAUCUACUUUUUGUUAAGUUUAUUUAUAGACUUAACUUUUAAAAAGACAACUUUGAAUGAUAAUGUUGUAAGCAAAUGCGUAAGAACUAAACUGCAACUUCAAUUCAAAUAUGAUGAGUAAAAUUGAGCUUCAACAGUAACUUUUCUCAAAGUUGUGACGGUGGAGUAGUAGUUUCUCCGGUAUAAAGUUUAUAGCUUCAGUUGUCAAGAAACUGAUCAUGCACCUGAAACUCGAAUUCAUCAAUUUUACAUUUUGUUCUUGUACCACCACAGAUAUAACUGAAAUUUCAAAUUUUCUUCUAACUAAUAGUAACAUAGUUUAAACCACAAACAAAAUCAUUGCAAAAAACCAAUCCAUCUUAUUCACAACUCAAAAGGGCAAUGUGUCUUGUGUGCAACAAGACCACCAAGGAAACAAAAUCAGAUCGCAUGAAAGUAAAACAGAAAAGAGAAAAAAAAAAAAAAAGAGUUCCAAAACUGGCUUUGAGUUUUCAUGUCAUAACUCAACUAGACCAAGUCACCAAGAGCAGCUGAUGAUGAUGGCAGAAUGACUUGUUCAUGUUGAGCAUUAGUAAUUCUUUUAAGCCUUUUCUCUCCAAUUCCAAAUGCAGCUGCAAAUUCUGGCCCUCCCAAGCUCUGCAUCAAUGAGUUCCUACCCACCAAGAACUGUGGAUGGUUCCACCUGGCUGAUGUAGUGAAGCCGAGGAUCUGAAAUGGACCAUUUGUGGAAGCAGUUUGGCAGACGGGGAAGUAUCGUGGCACCCAAAAGACGUCCCCUUCUCGUACUCUUGCAUUCAUUGCUAAAGUCCCAUUUGGAUACACAAUUUGGAUCCUGCCAGUCCCUUUCAACACUAUUCCAUAUACUAUUGCUGUUGGAUUGACAUGAGGUGCCAUCAUGGAUCCCUACAUUAACGAAGAAACAUUGAUAAAACAUGUAAGCAGGAAACGAAACAUACAUGUUGCUAUAUAUACCUGGAGCAUGAUAAGUUAUUAAUUAUGAUUUGUUUACAUGCAAGGGAUUUGAAUCAAUGCGUGCAAAUGAUCAUUACCUGAGACAGACUGAGAAGAUAAACACCAUUGCCGGAUUGUCCUAGAGAAGAAUAAUCCGACUCAUCCAACUUCUUGCCCCAUCCAUAGUCGUUCCUGAAAUCAGGUUUCCUGUUGUAGAGAUUGUACGCUGAUGGAGCUUUGUGACCCACUAUCUGGACAAAGUCUUCUCUGUUUAAUAAAGAAAAUAGAAUUUUCCUCAAUGACCAUAUUGAUUCUACCUCUUUGGGGCUAGCUUCUUCCUGGAAAUUAGCAAUACUCUUCAAGUGAGCUAGUUUCUGGUGGGAUUCUAGGUCCAAGAAUUUGGACCAAGUGUUUGUGUCAUGUGAACCAGAUAAAUGCACAAUGGGCCCGGAAGAUUGCCUGGUCAAGAACGUGCGCGAUUCUGCUGUUGAGACCUGCCAUUUUACAUAAUAUUAACUCAGCUUUUUCCCCCACCGAUAAAUGUCUUAAGAAGUCGUAAAGUCAUUUGCACACUUACAUUAAGAGCAGUUGAUAAUGUCUUAUGAUCGAAUCCAGCAAGAACGGAUGCAGGAUGAACUCCACCGCCAAUGAAGAAAGACUGCAAAAUAUUAUGAGUUACAAAGUUUUGGGAAGAAAAGCAUAAGAUAAGAAAUGGAUCAAAAGACCUUUUUUUGAGAAUUUGACCAAGGCUACCUGGAAUGCAUGCCAUCCCAUGGAUUCUGAGGUAAUAUCAAUGCUGCAAAUAAUGCGAAGUCUCUCGUUUUCAGCUCUAUUCUCCAAAUAGAAAGCAGAUCCCGCAGGAAUUGUGUACACAUCUCCAUGCUUCAAAUGCCUUUCUACUAAUUCAUCCCUAUAGAUAUGGCCAACUCUUGCUUCCCCUGUAUUCAUUUCACGGAUAAUAAGAAUUCUAGUUUAUCAAGAAAAUGACGACUCAUAUAAGAUAUCAGUAUAUGGAAGUUAAAAUGUAAAAGAAUGGAAUGAAAGAGAGAAAUUGGAAUUUUAAUUACCAUGGUGAACAAAGAGGACAAGAUUGGAAUCAAGAUACUGAGGGAUGAAGAGGCUAUUAGGUUCCAUGGAGAUGAAACCAAUAUGCAUUGGACUAUGAAGAUAUGAAUCCCUACGAUAGCCACCCUUCACCAUUCUCAUCGAUCCAGCAUCAGUUUUCACUACAUUAUGCAAGUGACGCAACAAGAACCAUUUUUCUCCCAGUGUCCUUCGCUCACUUUCUUCCUCUUCAUAGGCACCAACAGAGGACACUAGUGCGUAGAAAAGUACCAGCACUAGAAGCAACAAUGUCCUUGUAUCUCCCAUUUAACUUGGAACAAAAAAAGCUAGUAGUAGUUUUAAUUUGUAAGUUUUCUUUAAUGAUCAGUUUUGGUUCACUUAUAACUUAGGUGCAAAUUCUCGCCAUUUAUAUAGAGGAAAUAUUGAGAUAUGAGGGGAGUUGUUGUCAAUCAUUCAAGAAUUUUAGGCUUUCUCUGGUGUGCCAUGAACAUUAAGAUCCUGAAAAAAAAAAAAAAGUUAGUUUGAAAUAAAGAAAAAAUCAUUUGCCAAAGCUUGUAUACAGAAACCAAAUUAUUUGAAACUGCACUUUGAUGACCACUUCAAAUUUAAGGCCUAAUCUAGCGCUACUAAAGAAUGGAUUUAAGAUGUAUAAACUAAUUUAUUUGAAAAAAAUAUUUUUUGCGGCCAUCAAGGUCACCUGUAUUUCCAAUAAACCUAUCUAGUCUGUGACAACAUAUAUUGCUACUAGAAGCCUUUGUUACAAUCACAAUUUGUAAUUCGGAAAAGGGUCAAAUAUAUAAUGAAUUAUGAUAAAUGAUACCAACAUAUCAUUAGUCAUUAUAUGCCCCUCACACUAACGAUACGAGUAUAUGUGUACCAAAAGUAUGACGGAGUAUAUUUACGUUUCAUUUAUCAUUGCUCGGGAGUAUGUUUGUCCCUUUUCUAUUUUAAUUUUUUAACCUCAAAUAAUUAACCUAGACCCAAUAAACCCAUCGAACUCAACCCGUCCAAAUUAAAAUCCAAGAGACGCUUAUUUAAAAGACACAUUUUUUCUACUCAUAAUACAGUGACACCCACAAUUACUCCCUCCGUCCCAUUUUAUAUGUCGUCAUUUCCUUUUUGAUCCGUUCCAUAAAGAAUGUCACCUUUCUUUAUUUUGGUAACUAUUUAAUGACAUGAUUCUCAUUUUAUUUUUAGUGUCCCACUUAUUAAGAAAAGACAACUAAAAAGUAAACAUUAAAAUAACUUUAAGAGGAACAAUUUUGUAAACUUUACAAAGUCAUCACUUAUUUCUUAAACUCCAUGUCCGAUCAAAUAGCAACACAUAAAAUGGGACAGAGGUAGUACUAAUUUUUCAAAAAAAAAAUUAUUAACUCAUAACACCAAAUAAAUUGAACACCACACGUUUCAAUUUUCGGCGAAAUUUCGUUCAAAAAAACACUACCCACUAUCCGUCAACACCACUUAGCUACUGUCUCGGUCAAACCGAAAACACCUCACUGACGAACCAUCGCUGCACUCCUAGCUCCGGCCAGUUCUGACCUAAUCUCCACUCUCUCCAACCUGUAAACACCAACUAACAACAACGAUCAAUCACUGCAAUUUGGUUGGAUUUCACGUUUAAGAGAAAAAACAAAGGGAGUAUUGGAUUUGGAACAAAAAGUAGAGGUUGGAUCGAGUUGGUUUGCAAUCGGGUUCAAUGAGUUUAUUAGAUCGGGUAGUGGAUCUGAAUUAAUUAUUUGAAAUAAACAAAUUAAAACGGAAAAGGAAUAAAUAUACCCCGAACUAUGAUAAAUAGUACGUAUAUAUUCUCCAUCAUACUUUGCGUGGAUGUAUGCCCCUAUCAUUAGUGUGAGUGACAUAGACAUACCAUUUCAUUAACGACAGGGGCAUAUGUAUACCAAAAUAUGACGAAAAAUAUAUACAGAUUAUUUAUCAUAGUUCGAAAUAUAUUUGUCCCUUUUCCUUUUGUAAUUUGCUUGCCAAAACACAGAGAAGAGAGGCAAAGUAAUGAAAAAGAACUUGGAAAUUGUUCUAAUGGGAUUUGAGGGCACUGGCGGAGCCAGGUUUUUACUAGGGGUUUAGAAGUAAGCAUACGAACUAACCGAAGGAGGUUCAAACAUCUACUAUAUAUACAUAAAAAAUAAUUUUAACAUAUAUAAAUAGCAUAAUUUUCUGUCGAAGGGGGUUCGGCCCCCUAUCCAAAGGGUAGCUCUGCGCCUGUUUUAGGGAUAAUUUUAUCAUUAAUCAAGUUAAUGCAUAUAUUGAACUCCUUUGUAUUGCUAAUACAUGGAAAAUAAUGAUAUUAGUAAUACAUAGCUCACUACACAAUAGAGAUAGAGUGUAUAACUAAUAUAAGCAUUAGCUUUACAUUGGCUAUGUACUAAUAUUACAUAAAAACAAUACUUUGUAUUAAUUUUUCUAACAACACAUUAACAAGAUACUAUCAAACCACAAUACAAGCAAAGAAGAAAAUUACAUACUCUAAGAAUGAGCUUACCAUUCCCGUAGGUCCUAAGGUUGUUUUAACCAAGUCGGCAGUUUAAAGACAGUGCAUUCUUCAGCAAUGAUGACACAUAAUAGUGUUUAGCUGCAUAAUUCAUCUUUUCUUUCACAGAGAAGGUAGAAAGCCAUAAUUACAUUUUUCUUACUAUAGCCAACAUUUUCAUUACAUGAUGAGUAGUAUUUUGCUGGACACAGAGUUUAAAAAAGUUAAAACUGAAUUUUGAGCGAUAUUAGUGGUACGCUAAAUAAUUAUGUACAAAAGAUGGAGCAUUAUCUGUUAAAUCCUAUUGUGAAAAAGCUGUUGAAUAGAGAGGAGGUUGUGAUGUUUUUAUACUAUAGUAAUUCCUUUCGUUGCGAUGGGGUAUACUACUCGUUUUUGUUGGGCAGAGUCUUUCAUAUUUUCUGUUAAACCACGACAUAUCAACCAUAGAACCAGUUGAAAAUUUAAAUUUUGUUAUGAAGAAGGACCACAAACAGAAUACAUGUCAAAAAAAAACAAUCCGUUUUAUUCACAACUCAAGAGAAAUGUGUCACAAAGCGACUAAGGAAACUCAAAAAUCGAAUGAAAGGAAAGCACAAAAGAAAAUGGAAGUUCCAAAAGCUGGACAUAACUCAAAUACACUUAAAAACCCAUGUCAAUCUUCAGAGGAGAAUCUGACGAUGAUGAGGGCAAGAUAACUUGUUCACGCUGCGCGUUGGCAAUCCUUUCAAGCCUUUUCUGACCAAUUCCGAAUGCAGCUGCAAAUUCUGGCCCUCUCAAACUCUGCAUCAAUGAAUUCUGACCCACCAAAAACUGUGGACGGUUCCUCCUUGCUGAUGUUGUGAAGCCGAAGAACUCAAAUGGGCCAUUCGUUGAAGCAAUUUGGCAGAAUGGGAAGUACCUUGGAACCCAAAAAACGUCCCCUUCUCGUACUCUGGAGUUCAUUGCCAAAGUCCCAUUCGGAUACACAAUUUGGACUCUGCCAGUCCCUUUCAGCACUACUCCAUACUCUAUUGCUCUUGGAUUAACAUGAGGCGCCAUCAUGGAUCCCUACAUUAACCGAGAAACAUAGAUAAAAUAAGUUUACGUUAACAUGUCAUAGUUGGCAACCUACCAACAAGAAUAAAAAAAAAUCCAUGAUCAUGAAUAAUGAUCGGAUCAUUACCGAAGAUAGAUUGACAAGGUAGACACCAUUGCCGGAUAUUCUUAAAGGAGAAUAAUCAGACUCAUCCAACUUCUUGCUCCAUCCAUAGUCGUUCUGGAAAGCAGGAUUCCUGUUGUAGAGAUUGUACGUUGAUGGAGCUUCAUGAUUCACUCUCUUGACAGCGUCUUCCCUAUUUAAUAGAGUAAAUAGAAUUUUCCUCAAUGACCACGUUGAUUGUUCCUCUUUGGGGCUAGAUUCUUCUCCAAAAUUCACAAUCCUCUUCAAGUGAGCUAGUUUCUGGUGGGGUUCUUGGGCCAAGAAUUUGGACCAAAUGUUUGAGUGAUCAUGAGAACUAGAUAUAUGCACGAUUGGCCCAGAAGAUUGCCUGGUCAAUAAUGUCUUUAAUUCUGAUGUCGACACCUGCCAUUUGUACAUAAUCUUGACUCAGUUUUUUCCACUAGCAAAUGUUGGUAAAUUCCUCGAAUACUUACAUUAAGAGCAGUUGAUAAUGUGUUGUGAUCGAAUCCAGCAAGAAUGGAUGCUGGGUGAACUCCACCACCAAUGAAGUAAGACUGCAAAGUAUUUCGAGUUUCAAUGUUUUGGGAUGAAAAUUAGAACAGAUCUAAUAUAAGAAAUGGAUUAAAAGACCAUUUUAUUGAAAAAUAGCUUAGGAUACCUGGAAAGCAUUCCACCCCAUGGAUUCUGAGGUAAUAUCAAUGCUGCAAAUAAUGCCAAGUCUCUCGUUUUCAGCUCUAUUCUCCAAAUAGAAAGCUGAUCCAGCAGGUAUUGUGUACACAUCUCCAUGCUUCAAAUGCCUUUCUGCUAAUUUAUCCCUAUAGAUGUGCCCAACUCUCGCUUCUCCUGUAUUCAUUUCACGGAUAAUGAGAAUUCUAGUUUAUCAAGAAAAUGACGACUCAUAUAAGAUAUCAGUGUAUGGAAGUCUAAACCGUUAAAGAAUGAGAUGAAAGAGAGAGAAAAUAGAAUUUUAAUUACCAUGAUGAACAAAGAGGACAAGAUCGGAGUCAAGAUAUUGAGGGAUGAAGAGACUAUUAGGUUCCAUGGAGAUGAAACCAAUAUGCAUUGGACUAUGAAGAUAUGAACCCCUAUGAUAGCCACCCUUCACCAUUCUCAUCGACCCAGCGUCAGUUUUCACAACAUUAUGUAAGUGACGCAACAAGAACCAUCUUUCUCCUUGUGUCCUU